rnacentral:lncRNA from 1 species
AACAAUAUAUUACAAGUUGACAACAAUAACAAACCGAGCCUGAGUUUGAAGUCCACACAUGCAUACAUAUGCAACAAGAAUUCACAAACGAAAAAACCAUGAGUUUAAAGUUCAGACAUGCAUACAUAUCCAACGAAGGUUCAAAACAACAUGCGUCCGUAUGCAACAAGAAUUCACAAACGACAGCAUGAGUUCCAAGUUCACACCAAGCAUGAACCUAAAAGAUGCAAUGAGCUUCCACCGCAGCAUGUAUGCCCACCGUCGACGGCAUCUGCAAUGUAAACCUACAAAUCCAUUACCACACGCAUGAGUUUCCAAAGUUAAGUUGCAAAAAGGCACAAGAGUCAACAAGCAUCAACAUAUAAGAACUAACACACAUACUAGAAGAUUCACAACAAGUUCUAUCUUGAAGCCCUCAAUCUAGCAGACAAAAAUAUACAAUGCAUAGAUUUCACAUGUUUCCCAGAGCUUGAGGUCAUUUAAUAUAGAACUAUCAUAAGCUGCCCCGAUCAUGGAGAGGAACUGAGUAACAAAUGACCAGGCUGCCAUCACCACACAAAAAUAUGUAUUAUCAGAUUUUGGUGGUUACAAAAAUAAGCCAUCACAAAUUUAUGAAAAGGACUAGCACAUCAAUUUGGAUAUAUGUUAUGUAACUAGGUCUGAGGCAUCCAAUACAUGGACUAUAAUCAGCAUGUACAACAGCAAGCGGUAGGGUAUAAAAUUUCUACCUGUACUAAACAUACACUAGACAUCCAGCUUCCGUUCCCAGCAACUAAAGUCUCAAAAUGUACAGUUUCAUCAAAUACUAGCAGUGCAAACUCAC